rnacentral:tRNA from 1 species
GCUUGGCUGGCUCAGUGGAUAGAGUAUGAGACUCUUGAUCUCGAGGUUGUGAGUUCCAGUCCUAUGUGUGGCA